UACGUAUUAGCUCUAUCUGAUCUCU
rnacentral:snRNA from 1 species